rnacentral:rRNA from 1 species
AGAAGUGAGAAUGCCGGUGUGAGUAGCGAAAGACGGGUGAGAAUCCCGUCCACCGAUUGACUAAGGUUUCCAGAGGAAGGCUCGUCCGCUCUGGGUUAGUCGGGUCCUAAGCUGAGGCCGACAGGCGUAGGCGAUGGAUAACAGGUUGAUAUUCCUGUACCACCAUUAUUCGUUUUAAGCGAUGGGGGGACGCAGUAGGAUAGGCGAAGCGUGCUGUUGGAGUGCACGUCCAAGCAGUGAGAUUGAGUGUUAGGCAAAUCCGGCACUCUUAAGAUUGAGCUGUGAUGGGGAGAGGAACUUGUUCCUCGAGUCGUUGAUUUCACACUGCCGAGAAAAGCCUCUAGCUAGAAUAACGGUGCCCGUACCGCAAACCGACACAGGUAGUCAAGAUGAGAAUUCUAAGGUGAGCGAGCGAACUCUCGUUAAGGAACUCGGCAAAAUGACCCCGUAACUUCGGGAGAAGGGGUGCUCUUUGAGGUUCACGCUUCGAAGAGCCGCAGUGAAUAGGCCCAAGCGACUGUUUAUCAAAAACACAGGUCUCUGCUAAACCGUAAGGUGACGUAUAGGGGCUGACGCCUGCCCGGUGCUGGAAGGUUAAGAGGAGUGGUUAGCGCAAGCGAAGCUACGAAUCGAAGCCCCAGUAAACGGCGGCCGUAACUAUAACGGUCCUAAGGUAGCGAAAUUCCUUGUCGGGUAAGUUCCGACCCGCACGAAAGGCGUAACGAUUUGGGCACUGUCUCAACGAGAGACUCGGUGAAAUCAUAGUACCGGUGAAGAUGCCGGUUACCCGCGACAGGACGGAAAGACCCCGUGGAGCUUUACUGUAGCCUGAUAUUGAAAUUCGGUACAGUUUGUACAGGAUAGGUAGGAGCCUUAGAAGCGUGAGCGCUAGCUUACGUGGAGGCAUUGGUGGGAUACUACCCUAAUUGUAUUGGAUUUCUAACCCGCAGCACUUAUCGUGCUGGGAGACAGUGUCAGGCGGGCAGUUUGACUGGGGCGGUCGCCUCCUAAAGAGUAACGGAGGCGCUCAAAGGUUCCCUCAGAAUGGUUGGAAAUCAUUCAUAGAGUGUAAAGGCAUAAGGGAGCUUGACUGCGAGACCUACAAGUCGAGCAGGGUCGAAAGACGGACUUAGUGAUCCGGUGGUUCCGCAUGGAAGGGCCAUCGCUCAACGGAUAAAAGCUACCCCGGGGAUAACAGGCUUAUCUCCCCCAAGAGUUCACAUCGACGGGGAGGUUUGGCACCUCGAUGUCGGCUCAUCGCAUCCUGGGGCUGUAGUCGGUCCCAAGGGUUGGGCUGUUCGCCCAUUAAAGCGGUACGCGAGCUGGGUUCAGAACGUCGUGAGACAGUUCGGUCCCUAUCCGUCGUGGGCGUAGGAAAUUUGAGAGGAGCUGUCCUUAGUACGAGAGGACCGGGAUGGACAUACCUCUGGUGUACCAGUUGUCGUGCCAACGGCAUAGCUGGGUAGCUAUGUAUGGACGGGAUAAGUGCUGAAAGCAUCUAAGCAUGAAGCCCCCCUCGAGAUGAGAUUUCCCAACUUCGGUUAUAAG